rnacentral:tRNA from 1 species
GGCCUCGUAGCUAAGCUGGUAGAGCAUACGCGUACAAGCAUGGGCGGCGUCCAUGCGUGGGUUCGAAUCCCACCGAGGCUA